rnacentral:rRNA from 1 species
GAUGAACGCUGGCGGCGUGCCUAACACAUGCAAGUCGAGCGAAGCACUUACUUUAGAUUUCUUCGGAAUGACGAAGUUUGUGACUGAGCGGCGGACGGGUGAGUAACGCGUGGGCAACCUGCCCUGUACAGGGGGAUAACAGUUAGAAAUGACUGCUAAUACCGCAUAAGCCCACAGCUUCGCAUGAAGCAGUGGGAAAAACUCCGGUGGUACAGGAUGGGCCCGCGUCUGAUUAGCUAGUUGGUAAGGUAACGGCUUACCAAGGCGACGAUCAGUAGCCGACCUGAGAGGGUGACCGGCCACAUUGGGACUGAGACACGGCCCUAACUCCUACGGGAGGCAGCAGUGGGGAAUAUUGCACAAUGGGGGAAACCCUGAUGCAGCGACGCCGCGUGAGCGAUGAAGUAUUUCGGUAUGUAAAGCUCUAUCAGCAGGGAAGAAAGUGACGGUACCUGACUAAGAAGCCCCGGCUAACUACGUG